UAUACACUCGCACAAACUGAGAAGAGUUAGUUCAUUGAGAAUGGAUUGAAACUGAUGAAGAUCGAGCUGGAAGGAGUUAACUGAUGAGUAGACAUUACAACAUUUCUUAUAUUUGCAAGAUGAAGCUGAAAGUCCCAUGCAGGAUGAUGCUUCUCUACAGUGGAUGAUGAAGGCAUGCUGAUUACAAACCCAGGAGAGGAACAAAGAACAGAUAUUGACAGAAUCAUAUCUAGAGAUGCGGGCCUACUACACUUCAUACGAGCAAGUUUGCUAAAGUAAUAUACAAUACUUGGGUAUCAUUACAGCCCUUACUUCUGAAACCUAGGCUACAACUUUAUUGAUGAAUGCAGGAGACAUCUACAUGGGACUACGUCUUGAAGAUGCCACCCUCAUAUAAUGAAAGAGGACAGUAGAGAUGGGUUUAAACUUGAAUAUUUACAUGAUAUUUAUUUAUUAUUUGUAUUAUAUGUUUGUAGAAUAGCACAAUCAAUCAAGCUAAUGAAUUUAUCAUCAUGUCAACUUUCAAAUGAUUAAAGAUAACUAAUCAUCAAUGAAUAAACAUUAACAUUUUAACAACAUCAACUACCAUCUUAUAGGAGGACU